rnacentral:rRNA from 1 species
AGCAGCCGCCGCGGUAACACGUAGGUCCCGAGCGUUGUCCGGAUUUAUUGGGCGUAAAGCGAGCGCAGGCGGUUAGAUAAGUCUGAAGUUAAAGGCUGUGGCUUAACCAUAGUACGCUUUGGAAACUGUUUAACUUGAGUGCAAGAGGGGAGAGUGGAAUUCCAUGUGUAGCGGUGAAAUGCGUAGAUAUAUGGAGGAACACCGGUGGCGAAAGCGGCUCUCUGGCUUGUAACUGACGCUGAGGCUCGAAAGCGUGGGGAGCAAACAGGAUUAGAUACCCCGGUAGUCCCUGUCUCUUAUACA